GAUGAACGCUGGCGGCGUGCCUAAUACAUGCAAGUCGAGCGAACAGAUGAGGAGCUUGCUCCUCUGACGUUAGCGGCGGACGGGUGAGUAACACGUGGAUAACCUACCUAUAAGACUGGGAUAACUUCGGGAAACCGGAGCUAAUACCGGAUAAUAUAUUGAACCGCAUGGUUCAAUAGUGAAAGACGGUUUUGCUGUCACUUAUAGAUGGAUCCGCGCCGCAUUAGCUAGUUGGUAAGGUAACGGCUUACCAAGGCAACGAUGCGUAGCCGACCUGAGAGGGUGAUCGGCCACACUGGAACUGAGACACGGUCCAGACUCCUACGGGAGGCAGCAGUAGGGAAUCUUCCGCAAUGGGCGAAAGCCUGACGGGGCAACGCCGCGUGAGUGAUGGAGGUCUUCGGAUCGUAAAACUCUGUUAUUAGGGAAGAACAAAUGUGUAAGUAACUAUGCACGUCUUGACGGUACCUAAUCAGAAAGCCACGGCUAACUACGUG
rnacentral:rRNA from 1 species